rnacentral:rRNA from 1 species
UACAGAGGGGGCAAGCGUUGUUCGGAAUUACUGGGCGUAAAGGGCGCGUAGGCGGCCUGUUAAGUCGAACGUGAAAUCCCUGGGCUCAACCCAGGAACUGCGUCCGAUACUGGCAGGCUUGAAUCCGGGAGAGGGAUGCGGAAUUCCAGGUGUAGCGGUGAAAUGCGUAGAUAUCUGGAGGAACACCGGUGGCGAAGGCGGCAUCCUGGACCGGUAUUGACGCUGAGGCGCGGAAAGCCAGGGGAGCAAACGGGG